rnacentral:RNase_P_RNA from 1 species
CCAGACGGCUGGACGGUCGCCUUUACCCUUGGGACAUUGUCUUAGGACAUUGUCCUUGGGUGGGGGAGGAAAGUCCGGGCUCCAUGAAAAAACGGUGCCGGGUAACGCCCGGCGGGGGCGACCCCAGGGAAAGUGCCACAGAAAGUAAACCGCCUGUCUUUCGAGCCAGUCUCGUACGAUAGGUAAGGGUGAAAGGGUGCGGUAAGAGCGCACCGCGCGGCUGGUAACAGUCGUGGCAAGGUAAAC